rnacentral:rRNA from 1 species
AUGUUACCACUUUGCUCAGCCCCUCUUAUAGCAUUGCUAGUUGCAGGUGCAGUUGUAGGUUGUCCAUGUUGGGACAUGGCUUUCAUGUAUAUCUUGAGAUAUCACAAUAUCUCUUAUUUAAUUAAUGCACAUAUAUACUUGGUAAAGGGUGGAAGGUUCGGCCUUAUGCCUGGUGUUUUGUUCCACUCUUGCCGCCCUAGUUUCCAUCAUACCGGUGUUAUGUUCCUCGAUUUUUGCGUCCCUAACACGAUGAGGGGUAUGGGACCCUCUCGGUGUUUUGCUUUGAAUAAAACUCUUCCAGCAAGGCUCAACAUUGGUUUUAACAUUUUCCUUAAUAAUACUUGA